rnacentral:rRNA from 1 species
AGCGGCUAACGGGUGAGUAACACUCGGGUAUCUGCCCUGCACUCUGGGAUACGCCUGGGAAACUGGGUCUAUUACUGGAUAUGCUCGCAUGGGGAAAUAUUUAUCUUUGCAAGAUGGGCCCGCGGCCUAUCCGCUUGUUGGUGGGGUAAUGGCCUACCUGGCGACAACGGGUAGCCUACCUGAGAGGGUGACCGGCCCCCCUGAGACUGAGACUCGGCCCACACUCCUACUGGAGGCAGCAGUGGGGAAUAUUGCACAAUGGGCGGAACCCUGAUGCAUCGACGCCGCGUGAGGGAUGCAGGCCUUCGAGUUGUAUUCCUCUUUCUGCAAGGAUGACCCGUGAGUGAGGGUACCUGCACGGUAAGCACCGGCUAACUACGUGCCAGCAGCCGCGGUAAUACGUAGGGUGCGAGCGUUGAUCAGAAUUACUGGGCGUAAAGAGUUCGUAGGUGGUUUGUCGCGUCGCUUUUGAAACCACGGGGAUCACCUUCGGGCUUGCAUGCGAUACGGGCAGAUCUGAGUGUUCACGGGCAGACUGGAAGUCCUGGUGUACCUUUUCCAUGCUCACAUAUCAUGAGGAGCAGCGGGGGCGAAAGCUGAUCUCUGGAGAGACACUUGUGCUGUAGGACGAUAGACGAUGUGACUAGCAACUGCGUAUUACGU